rnacentral:lncRNA from 1 species
GCAACCGGCAAGAGGCCAUCUCUGCCCUCAGGAGGUCUUGGAGAAGCCUGGUGGGAGACACAGCUACAUAACCAGGAGACAGCAACACCGGCCUAGAGAUACAAAAAGGGGGGCAGGUGUUGGAAUUGGAGGAGACGUCUUCAGUCCUCAGCCCUAGCCGAGCCUGCCUCUUCCCCCAACUCCACCUGUGAGCCCUGCUCGAUGCCUGGCAGCUGUUUGGGGCCCUUGUUACUACUUGUCCACAGACAUCUCUCCUGGAACCAGGCCAAGGCUUCCUUGUCCAGCACGGGGCCCACCUCGUCACCACCAGCAGUCGAACAGAGCAGGUGAGGGCAGGAGGGACCUUUAGGGCCCUUCGUCAAGUCAGUACGUGGUCGUGUCCCCAUCCCUGCAGGGUCCGCUCCAAACCCCGGAGCCCAGCCUUCAGGCCCACGGCUGCUCUCUCCACACACCCACCACCCCAGCAUGUGGAUGCGCCCCGAUCGUGCAUUUUCUCACUCUGCUUUUGUUGACGUCAGCCCUGUGGCAGGCUCUCCCUUCCCCUGCGAUCAGCCGAGAGAACUCCUCUUCAUCCUUUAAGUCCCAGAGGAAACAUUCCCUCCUCCGCGUUUCCCCCAGUGACCGAGCAGACGUCUCCCUCACAGGCCUGCACGUUGGGCUGUGGCUGUGGGUCGAGGGUCUGGG